rnacentral:misc_RNA from 1 species
UAUAUCCGGUGGGGGUGAGGAGCACAGCUUGCUGUUGCAUUUCCCCCCAAACCAAACAUUAUGUGAACCGAACUGUCUCUGGCGGGGGGGUGGUAAUUAAAACCUACCACUUGUCAGUAAAUGCGUCUUGCAUUUGCCGUGGACAUCCCGUCAACAGGUCUUACACCUUUGCUUUAUUUUGAUGUCUGACAUAACAUGUAUAAAUAUACAAAACAACUUUUGGCAACGGAUCUCUUGGCUCU